rnacentral:rRNA from 1 species
UUGGAGGGCAAGUCUGGUGCCAGCAGCCGCGGUAAUUCCAGCUCCAAUAGCGUAUAUUAAAGUUGUUGCGGUUAAAAAGCUCGUAGUUGAAUUUCGGGAUCAGCAGGUUGGUCGUGCCAAUGGUAUGCACUGGCCUUGCUGAUUCCUCCCUCUUGAUGAGCCGUAAUGCCAUUAAUUUGGUGUUGCGGGGAAUCAGGACUGUUACUUUGAAAAAAUUAGAGUGUUUAAAGCAGGCAAGCGCUUGAAUACAUUAGCAUGGAAUAAUGAAAUAGGACGUUUGAUCCUAUUUUGUUGGUUUCUAGGAUUGACGUAAUGAUUAAUAGGGAUAGUUGGGGGCAUUAGUAUUCAAUUGUCAGAGGUGAAAUUCUUGGAUUUAUUGAGGACUAACUACUGCGAAAGCAUUUGCCAAGGAUGUUUUCAUUAAUCAAGAAUGAAAGUUAGGGGAUCGAAGACGAUCAGAUACCGUCGUAGUCUUAACCAUAAACUAUGCCGACUAGGGAUCGGAUGAUGUUAAUUUUUUAAUGACUCAUUCGGCGCCUUACGGGAAAC